CGCGUUCCAAGUACAUAAUAGUAUCUUCCUUGUAUUGCGGACGUAUGGCAUGUGUCCCAUUAGAUGGAAUCGACGAUAGACAAGUGUUGUUAGCAUAGGCUUGAGUGCAGCAGUUCCGCCCUUCGCACCAUGAAACGCGAUCCCUAGAGGCGACAUCCGCAACGAAGCCCUAUAAUCCACCUCCAUUGCAGAUUACCUUUCCACCAUGGCGCAUUGAUUAUAAACCGUUUAAGUCUGACGAUUAAGCCGACACUCGACGUGUUUACCUGUUUAAAGUUCCUUUCGUGACGUAAUGUCGAAAACAAUUUUUUAUGCUUAGUCAUGUUAUAAGAAUAUAUUAGUUAGUAAAAUGUG